UCAAGGGCAGUUAUCAUUGCCAAAAAAGCAAAUGAGUUAAUUUUCUAGCUAGAUCAGAUUAGGCUGUGUAGCAACUUCCAGAGCCUGGCAAAUUUAGCAGCAGCUGUUGCUGCUGCAAUACAGCGUGAUUUAAUAUUGAGUGAGAGAAUAAACCUUGCAAGCUCUAGACUGCAGAGGAUUCAAAAGCAGUUGUUUUUGGUAAAUAGAAACAAGCAGACACCAGCCACCUCCGUGACAGGAUACUCCUAUUGCACCAGGGGAAAAAAUAACACAGGCCAUUUGACUUAGACUUGAGGACAAAAUGUAAAUCAAUCAUGUUAAAAGGAUCCCAUUGGACCAAACAGAAAAUGGCUCCCGGAUCCACUUUAUGUUCAGUUUUAUGCAUGUGCUAAUUCUUGAUGCUCUUGAGAAAGAUGCAAGAUGGAUAGAUGGAAAUGAUGCAUCUUCUGAAAACAAUGUUAAAGGAAUUGUUCUUUUUCCAAGCCAUAAAUUACCCUGUAUCAUUGCAUUUUGAUGAUGGUGUGCAGGUUUUUGAAUCAUUAGGGGCUGCACAAAAUAAUCAUUAAUAUUUGUAAUACA